CAGAUCAUUUACAAGCUGUGUGGAAG
rnacentral:piRNA from 1 species